CUCAGUUGAUUCAGUGAUUGACAGAGACACGUGUGAUGAUCCUCAUGUCUGUAAAAACCUGCAGGACAUCCAUGGAUUUGACAUAAAAUUUAGGAUUAACAGUGAUGUGUGAAUCCAACUAGAGUAACAAAUAUUCUCAAAGUCUCAUGGAAAAGAGUAAGGUUAAUGUACUAAAGUUGGUCUUGAAGAUGUUUUCAGAAUUAAAGUGAAUGAUACGGUUUUUUAAUAGUUUGGCUAAUAGAAGACGUUCAGUAAUUGUUUUUUAUUUCAGGCCUUUGACUGAGACUGAGCGACUGUCUCCAGGUAAAUGAUGUGAGUGUGUUUGCAUAUUGAUCAGAUGCUUCAGUGCUCUGAGAGUGUUUAUAGUGCUGUGAGUUUAACACUUCAUCACUGACACACACAACAAUCUUCAUCAACAUGACCUUCAUCAUCAUCUUCAUCUGGACUCUCACAGCGUUUGCUCAAGAGUGUAGAGGACAGAUCAGCGUCACUCAGAGUCCCUCAACGACAGCAGCUCAACCAGGAGAAACAGUGAAGAUCAACUGUAGAACCAGCAGUGAUGUGUAUGGUGGUGAUCGUUUAGCCUGGUACUUACAGAAACCUGGAGAAGCUCCUAAACUCCUGAUUUAUUAUGCAAGCAGCCGUCAGUCAGGAACUCCAUCUAGAUUCAGUGGCAGUGGAUCUAACAGUGAUUUCACUCUGACCAUCAGUGGAGUCCAGACUGAAGAUGCUGGACAUUAUUACUGUCAGAGUUACCACUACAUCAACAGUAAAGAUGUGUUCACACAGUGA